UGUUGGUUCUCCCGCAACGGUACUCUGUUUACCAGGUCAGGUCCGGAAGGAAGCAGCCAAGGCAGAUGACGCGUGUGCCGGGAUGUAGCUGGCAGGG
rnacentral:SRP_RNA from 1 species